rnacentral:tRNA from 1 species
GCCGGGAUAGCUCAGUUGGUCAGAGCGCUGGAUUGUGGAUCCAGAGGUCCUGGGUUCGACCCCCAGUCCCGGUACCA